rnacentral:rRNA from 1 species
CCUACGGGAGGCAGCAGUGGGGGAUAUUGCACAAUGGGGGAAACCCUGAUGCAGCAACGCCGCGUGAGUGAAGAAGUAUUUCGGUAUGUAAAGCCCUCUCAGCAGGGAAGAGACUGACGGUACCUGCCUACGAAGCCCCGGCUAACUACGUGCCAGCAGCCGCGGUAAUACGUAGGGGGCGUUGGUUAUCCGGAUUUACUGGGCGUAAGGGGAGCGUAGACGGCUGUUCAAGUCUGAAGUGAAAGCCCGGGGCUUAACCCCGGAACGGCCUUGGAAACUGAGCAGCUAGAGUGCUGGAGAGGUAAGCGGAAUACCUAGUGUAGCGGUGAAAUGCGUAGAUAUUAGGAGGAACACCAGUUGCGAAGGCAGCUUACUGGACAGAAACUGACGUUGAGGCUCGAAAGCGUGGGGAGCAAACAGGAUUAGAUACCCCAGUAGUC